rnacentral:rRNA from 1 species
UACAUGGGGUGCAAACGUUGCUCGGAAUUAUUGGGCGUAAAGCGCACGUAGGCGGUUUGUUAAGUCGGAUGUGAAAUCCCUCGGCUUAACCAAGGAAGUGCAUCCGAAACUGCUGAGCUUGAGUACUUAAGAGGAUCGCGGAAUUCCCGGUGUAGAGGUGAAAUUCGUAGAUAUCGGGAGGAACACCAGUGGCGAAGGCGGCGAUCUGGGAAGAUACUGACGCUGAGGUGCGAAAGCGUGGGGAGCAAACAGG